GGAGAUACUAUUAGACUUGAGAUCGGGAGAGGGUCAGAGGUACUCCUGGGGUAGGGGGUGAAAUCCUGUAAUCCUAGGAGGACCACCUGUGGCGAAGGCGUCUGACUAGAACGAAUCUGACGGUGAGGAACGAAAGCUAGGGGCGCGAACCGGAUUAGAUACCCGGGUAGUCCUAGCCGUAAACUAAUGCGGACUUGGUGUGAGGGUGGCUUUGAGCCGUCCUGGUGCCGAAGGGAAGCUGUUAAGUCCGCCGCCUGGGAAGUACGGUCGCAAGACUGAACUUAAAGGAAUUGGCGGGGAGCACCACAACGCGUGGAGCCUGCGGUUUAAUUGGAUUCAACGCCGGAGAUCUCACCAGCGGCGACAGCAGUAUGAUGACCAGGUUGAUGACUUUGUUUGACAAGCUGAGUGGUGGUGCAUGG
rnacentral:rRNA from 1 species